rnacentral:sRNA from 1 species
GAAACGGUCAUCGGUACGCAGUUUCUGGCAGCACUAUUUUUUUGCAACGCAGGGCGUUCGCGCAUUCUGGCUGGCCCGCCUGAGCGCGGCGCAACGCAUGCAGAUGCUGGACGCGGUGAUGCAGUGGGAGGUUACAACCCCGGUUUCCUUUAAGCGUCUUCUGCGCCGACAUCGAGUGUAACUGAGUAUUGGUGCUUUUCACCGGCCAGCAGCGUAUGUUGCUGGCUUUUUU